GUGAGGUCAUUCACCUGAGGGGUGAAAUGGCUGCCUGAGGUGAACUCCAGUUACGCUGGCGUGUACCAGUUAGUGUUUUCAGCAGUCUAUCUUGGUUAAACAAACUAGUAUCUAUGUUUUAGCAGAGUCUGUCAAGGAAAUAGGAGCAUGGCUUGGAACUCAGCUGAUAUCUGGAGUCGUAGUUACUCAGAUUAUAAGGUGCAUCAAGGUGCUCUGAAAUUGAAGCUUAGUGGAGACCAGGAACCAGCAACCAUGUUCUCUCAGUGUGGAGUCUUUGGUUGAAGGCAAUGGCACCAACCUGGUGGCUCCAGUGAGUUUGGAGCUUAGCAGGAUUUUAUCCACAUAUUUUCAAGGUGAUUGCAUGGGGGAACAGAUUACCCAGAGCAGAUGUGGAUUCUACAGCCCAGUUUUUUCAAAAUCCUGAGAAACCUGAUCUGAAUUCAACGUUAACCCUGCUUUGUGGACAAGACUGGGUGAAAUGACCUCCUGAGGUUCCUUCCAACCUAAAGAUCUUCAUAGCAGAUUUUACAUCCCAGUGAUUUGAGAAGUUGCAUUCAAAACAAGGGACAUACGCUCCUCCCAGAACAGAAUUUUUGUCUAUGGUGUUUUAAGAAAAAACAACCAGUUGCUCCAUCUGUCAGUAAACCUCUUCCAAGAAGAAGGAAAUAUCAACACAACACAAAAUGUGAUUGCCCUUUGAAAGCAAAAAG
rnacentral:lncRNA from 1 species